rnacentral:ncRNA from 2 species
UUGGUUUUUACAGGUUAUAAUCAUUCUGCGCCGAGAGAAAGCGCCGUUUUUCUCACGGGGAACGCGGUGAAAAGCCGCGGCAGCUCACUCUACCGUAAGCGAUACGAAAUCCGAAUGCCACUCUUUUUGUGAGGAUCAGACCCAUAACUUCUCACCAAAGGGGAAGGCGGAAAGUAGGUUGAUGCGCAAGCCGGGAUAUCCGUUUGAGGCGUAAAAAAAUA